AUGGCAUGUCUUGCUACAGUUGGAGUUUUUGUGUUUUCACAUCAGGGACAUGAAUAUGAAGCUUACAAAAUUAUAGUACAUCUUAGGGAGGUUGAGGAAUUUUUAACAACUUUGUUUGGUAUGCUAGGCAAAAUAAUUUUCUUGGUAGCGCAGAGCUUCUGGUUUUUAUAUGACAGUUUUGAUAAUCAUCAAUUUUGA